rnacentral:SRP_RNA from 1 species
UCGGUCCCCCCGCAACGAUUACCCGUCAACCUGGUCAGGUCCGGAAGGAAGCAGCCACAGCGGGAACAUUGUGUGCCGGGGUGUGGCUGG